GACGAACGCUGGCGGCGUGCUUAACACAUGCAAGUCGAACGAUGAUGCCCAGCUUGCUGGGUGGAUUAGUGGCGAACGGGUGAGUAACACGUGAGUAACCUGCCCCUGACUCUGGGAUAAGCGUUGGAAACGACGUCUACUACUGGAUAUGACUACUGGUCGCAUGGCCUGGUGGUGGAAAGAUUUUUUGGUUGGGGAUGGACUCGCGGCCUAUCAGCUUGUUGGUGAGGGAAUGGAUCACCAAGGCGACGAAGGGGAGCCGGCCUGAGAGGGUGACCGGCCACACUGGGACUGAGGCACGGCCCAGACUCCUACGGGAGGCAGCAGUGGGGAAUAUUGCACAAUGGGCGAAAGCCGGAUGCAGCAACGCCGCGUGAGGGAUGACGGCCUUCGGGUUGUAAACCUCUUUUAGUAGGGAAGAAGCGAAAGUGACGGUACCUGCAGAAAAAGCACCGGCUAACUACGUGCCAGCAGCCGCCGUAA
rnacentral:rRNA from 1 species